ACUUCCUCGGGGUAGGAGCUACAUAAGAUGUGUUCAUUUUGGUAUAAAAUUAGAGAAAACCAGGUGAUCAUAACAAAGAGGAAAAAAAGAAAAAGAAGAGAAGUGGAUCUCAGGUCUCAGCCUCAUUUGCUACAGACUACAGUGUCUCAUAUACAGUUAGUUCCAUAUGUAGUAAAAGAGAACAAGAGUAAAAAUAGGUAAAUAGGAGGGGAAGCUGUAGUAGCAGCAGCAGCUACCCUGUUUGUUUAAAAAAUAAUCCUUUAAAAAAAGAAGAAAAAGAAAACCCUCUUGUUUUGGACUUCUGUAGCAAAAAAACAUCAGGGCUAAGUCCUUCUCUAUGAUAUUCAUUGCAUUUUGUACGAGCAAGAGAGGCAAAAGCCAAAGCCAACAUUUGAUGUGUCAUUUUUCUUGAAUCUCUUAUGGACCAGUGAAUACUGACUGAAACGUGAAUGAACCUGCCGCCCAUCUUUCAUGACUUUUCAAUUUGGCUGUGCAGAACUGUGUUGUGUGCAUGUCUUGUUUGAUUGGUUUUCUCUCUACUUUAAGUCAUCAUCACUCCCCAUCUCAUGUUUUACACGCACUUGCAAAAAUAUGAAAUAUCCCUCGGCGAUUGUGUUUUAUUCUCAUACCCUUUUCUUUGCAAUACAGUCCUGCUUGUGAUGGGAUGUGUGAUACUGGUUUGAUUUGGGAUAUAUUUAGAAAUUAAAAUGAAAUUAAAAUUUUAAUAUA
rnacentral:misc_RNA from 1 species